GGGGCCGACAGGUUUCGACUUGAAAAUCAAGAUAAUGCAAGCAUGUCGGAGGCUGACGUGGACAACCGUCAUCAAUCCAUGUCAAACAAUAAACGCCAAGACGAAUUCUUCGCGUAACUUCCAGCUCGCCGCCUGAAACACGGUGAAGGAAGAACAGGGUCGCUGAUUUGCUGUAAGGCGAUUCUGAAAAAGAAAGGACAGCAAAAACUCGGUGAACGGCAACUGUUCAUCGUUUCAUGACUGAGUUGCAAAACUGUUCCGGGGUGCCUCUUCGACUGGAACUUUCAACAUAUAUAAAUGAGAUGGCUAAACAUGUAGAAAACAUCAUCAACGUUUUCAAGGACGAGGGUUCGAUUCCCUCCGGCUCCACGA
rnacentral:tmRNA from 1 species